GGUUGUGGCUCAGUGGUAGAGUGCUUGCCUAGCACGUAUGAGGCACUGGGUUCAAUCCUCAGCACCA
rnacentral:tRNA from 1 species